rnacentral:tRNA from 1 species
GGUUGAAUGGGUGAUGGAAUUGGCCCGGCAGAUCCUGGAUCUACCCGGCCAAUUCGCGGGAAUGGAAGUGCUCAAGUUUCAGCAUUUGAUUCGGCCG